rnacentral:rRNA from 1 species
AGUUUGAUCAUGGCUUUGAUUGAACGCUGGCGCCAGGCCUAACACAUGCAAGUCGAACGGUAACAGGAAGCAGCUUGCUGCUUUGCUGACGAGUGGCGGACGGGUGAGUAAUGUCUGGGAAACUGCCUGAUGGAGGGGGAUAACUACUGGAAACGGUAGCUAAUACCGCAUAACGUCGCAAGCACAAAGAGGGGGACCUUAGGGCCUCUUGCCAUCGGAUGUGCCCAGAUGGGAUUAGCUAGUAGGUGGGGUAACGGCUCACCUAGGCGACGAUCCCUAGCUGGUCUGAGAGGAUGACCAGCAACACUGGAACUGAGACACGGUCCAGACUCCUACGGGAGGCAGCAGUGGGGAAUAUUGCACAAUGGGCGCAAGCCUGAUGCAGCCAUGCNGCGUGUAUGAAGAAGGCCUUCGGGUUGUAAAGUACUUUCAGCGGGGAGGAAGGGAGUAAAGUUAAUACCUUUGCUCAUUGACGUUACCCGCAGAAGAAGCACCGGCUAACUCCGUGCCAGCAGCCGCGGUAAUACCCUGGGUGCAAGCGUUAAUCGGAAUUACUGGGCGUAAAGCGCACGCAGGCGGUUUGUUAAGUCAGAUGUGAAAUCCCCGGGCUCAACCUGGGAACUGAAUCUGAUACUGGCAAGCUUGAGUCUCGUAGAGGGGGGUAGAAUUCCAGGUGUAGCGGUGAAAUGCGUAGAGAUCUGGACGAAUACCGGUGGCGAAGGCGGCCCCCUGGACGAAGACUGACGCUCAGGUGCGAAAGCGUGGGGAGCAAACAGGAUUACAUACCCUGGUAGUCCACGCCGUAAACGAUGUCGACUUGGAGGUUGUGCCCUUGAGGCGUGGCUUCCGGANNUAACGCGUUAAGUCGACCGCCUGGGGAGUACGGCCGCAAGGUUAAAACUCAAAUGAAUUGACGGGGGCAGCACAAGCGGUGGAGCAUGUGGUUUAAUUCGAUGCAACGCGAAGAACCUUACCUGGUCUUGACAUCCACGGAAGUUUUCAGAGAUGAGAAUGUGCCUUCGGGAACCGUGACUCACCUGCUGCAACGCUGUCCUCAGCUCGUGUUGUGAAAUGUUGGGUUAAGUCCCGCAACGAGCGCAACCCUUAUCCUUUGUUGCCAGCGGUCCGGCCGGGAACUCAAAGGAGACUGCCAGUGAUAAACUGGAGGAAGGUGGGGAUGACGUCAAGUCAUCAUGGCCCUUAUAACCAGGGCUACACACGUGCUACAAUGGCGCAUACAAAGAGAAGCGACCUCGCGAGAGCAAGCGGACCUCAUAAAGUGCGUCGUAGUCCGGAUUGGAGUCUGCAACUCGACUCCAUGAAGUCGGAAUCGCUAGUAAUCGUGGAUCAGAAUGCCACGGUGAAUACGUUCCCGGGCCUUGUACACACCGCCCGUGACACCAUGGGAGUGGGUUGCAAAAGAAGUAGGUAGCUUAACUUCGGCUGGGCG